AACGAACGCUGGCGGCAUGCCUAACACAUGCAAGUCGAACGAUGCCUUCGGGCAUAGUGGCGCACGGGUGCGUAACGCGUGGGAAUCUGCCCUUGGCUUCGGAAUAACAGUUAGAAAUGACUGCUAAUACCGGAUGAUGUCCCCCUGAGAGAUCUUGGGGACCAAAGAUUUAUCGGCCAGGGAUGAGCCGCGUAGGAUUAGGUAGUUGGUGGGGUAAAGGCCUACCAAGCCGACGAUCCUUAGCUGGUCUGAGAGGAUGAUCAGCCACACUGGGACUGAGACACGGCCCAGACUCCUACGGGAGGCAGCAGUGGGGAAUAUUGGACAAUGGGGGGAACCCUGAUCCAGCAAUGCCGCGUGAGUGAUGAAGGCCUUAGGGUUGUAAAGCUCUUUUACCAGGGAUGAUAAUGACAGUACCUGGAGAAUAAGCUCCGGCUAACUCCGUG
rnacentral:rRNA from 1 species